CCUACGGGGGUCAGCAGUGGGGAAUAUUGGACAAUGGGCGAAAGCCUGAUCCAGCCAUGCCGCGUGUGUGAAGAAGGCCUUCGGGUUGUAAAGCACUUUCAGUGGGGAAGAAAGCCUUGGGGCUAAUACCCUCGAGGAAGGACAUCACCCACAGAAGAAGCACCGGCUAACUCCGUGCCAGCAGCCGCGGUAAUACGGAGGGUGCGAGCGUUAAUCGGAAUUACUGGGCGUAAAGCGCGCGUAGGCGGUCUGAUAAGCCGGUUGUGAAAGCCCCGGGCUCAACCUGGGAACGGCAUCCGGAACUGUCAGGCUAGAGUGCAGGAGAGGAAGGUAGAAUUCCCGGUGUAGCGGUGAAAUGCGUAGAGAUCGGGAGGAAUACCAGUGGCGAAGGCGGCCUUCUGGACUGACACUGACGCUGAGGUGCGAAAGCGUGGGUAGCAAACAGGAUUAGAUACCCGGGUAGUC
rnacentral:rRNA from 1 species